GAUGAAGAACGUAGUGAAAUGCGAUAAGUAAUGUGAAUUGCAGAAUUCAGUGAAUCAUCGAAUCUUUGAACGCACAUUGCGCCCCCUGGUAUUCCGGGGGGCAUGCCUGUUCGAGCGUCAUUUCACCACUCAAGCCUCGCUUGGUAUUGGGCAACGCGGUCCGCCGCGUGCCUCAAAUCGACCGGCUGGGUCUUCUGUCCCCUAAGCGUUGUGGAAACUAUUCGCUAAAGGGUGUUCGGGAGGCUACGCCGUAAAACAACCCCAUUUCUAAGGUUGACCUCGGAUCAGGUAGGGAUACCCGCUGAACUUAAGCAUAUCAAUAAGCGGA
rnacentral:misc_RNA from 1 species